AUUGAACGCUGGCGGCAGGCCUAACACCUGCAAGUCGAGCGAGCGGCGGACGGGUGAGUAAUGUCUGGGAAACUGCCUGAUGGAGGGGGAUAACUACUGGAAACGGUAGCUAAUACCGCAUACCCUCAGAUGUGCCCAGAUGGGCUUAGCUAGUAGGUGGGGUAACGGCUCACCUAGGCGACGAUCCCGAACUGGUCUGAGAGGAUGACCAGCCACACUGGAACUGAGACACGGUCCAGACGCCUACGGGAGGCAGCAGUGGGGAAUAUUGCACAAUGGGCGCAAGCCUGAUGCAGCCAUGCCGCGUGUGUGAAGAAGGCCUUCGGGUUGUAAAGCACUUUCAGCGGGGAGGCGUUACCCGCAGAAGAAGCACCGGCUAACUCCGUGCCAGCAGCCGCGGUAAUUC
rnacentral:rRNA from 1 species